GAAGUUGGAGUCGCUAGUAAUCGCAGAUCAGCAACGCUGCGGUGAAUACGUUCCCGGGCCUUGUACACACCGCCCGUCACGUCAUGAAAGUCGGUAACACCCGAAGCCGGUGGCCUAACCCCUUGUGGGAGGGAGCCGUCGAAGGUGGGAUCGGCGAUUGGGACGAAGUCGUAACAAGGUAGCCGUACCGGAAGGUGCGGCUGGAUCACCUCCUUUCUAAGGAGCACUUCUCCACGAUGCGUCACACAGGUGAUUGUGGUCGUGGCAGAGGCCAUGUCGGACUCGAAUGUAGUCCGGUGGUUGCUCAUGGGUGGAACGCUGGCAUGUGCCUCGUGUAUCGGUUGGUCCUGUGUGGCCGGCCGGCGGGGAUGUAGUCGACACACUGUUGGGUCCUGAGAGAACACGCGAGUGACUCUCUAGGUAUGAGAUAACGACGAGGCUGGAUCUUCAGUCAUACCGCGGGGCUUUCUUCGGAGGGUUUCGGUCUGGUGCUGAGUCAGGGUUUGGUCUUGUGUGUUGUUUGAGAACUGCACAGUGGACGCGAGCAUCUUUGUUUGUAAGUGUUUAAGAGCGUUCGGUGGAUGCCUUGGCACCAGGAGCCGAUGAAGGACGUAGGAGGCUGCGAUAAGCCUCGGGGAGCUGUC
rnacentral:misc_RNA from 1 species